GUGCCAGCAGCCGCGGUAAUACCGGCGGCUCGAGUGGUGGCCACUAUUACUGGGCUUAAAGCGUCCGUAGCUGGGCUGUUAAGUCUCUUGGGAAAUCUAACGGCUUAACCGUUAGGCGUCUAAGGGAUACUGGCAUUCUAGGGACCGGGGGAGGUGAGAGGUACUCCGGGGGUAGGAGUGAAAUCCUGUAAUCCUCGGGGGACCACCUGUGGCGAAGGCGUCUCACCAGAACGGCUCCGACAGUGAGGGACGAAAGCUGGGGGAGCAAACCGGAUUAGAUACCCGGGUAGUCCCAGCUGUAAACGAUGCGCGUUAGGUGUAUCGGUGACCACGAGUUACCGAGGUGCCGAAGGGAAACCGUGAAACGUGCCGCCUGGGAAGUACGGUCGCAAGGCUGAAACUUAAAGGAAUUGACGG
rnacentral:rRNA from 1 species